UAAAACCCGAAGUGAAUUCUGGAGAUACGAAAAUUUGUAUGCUGAUGACUAAGCCUGUCAUCAGUAUGGAUACAAACAAAUUAUAUCAAAAGUACAGUUUGGCUUGUGAUAAGAUGGUAUCUUUCUCGUAAGACUUCUUUACCUUAGGACAUUAUGUAGAAAUAUUACACAAGCUUUGAAUUUCAUGUGUAGUUGGUCUGUGAUUGGAACAGUUCGCGUUUCACCCAGCAUGGAGCAGUAUCCUUUUGUUCACUAGACGCAGAAACAACAACAAGGGAACAUGAAAACUCGGUAAGCCAUAUGUUACGAAACAUUGGUUUCUCUUUCACUCUGCAGAGUAGCACUUCCUGUAGUGCUGAAGAAAGCGUGAAGAUGCCUUUUUUGCAUUGGGAACGGAGACAAUGUGUUAUUGUUAACGGAAUGAAUUGGUAAGUAACAUUUAAAAAUAGUAGACGAGUGCCUAAAAACCUCAAUUUUUUAGACAUUUGUAACUUACUUUCAAUAGACAGAAUUUAAACAACAUUUCAGAAAUAUCAAAAGCAAAAGAACAGAAUUAAUGUGGAACUGUCGUUUGCGGCAGUGUGAAUCUUAACUUAAUCCUAAGGGUAGACCAUUUAGUAAUUUAUUUUUUAUUUUUUUUGAAGACUAAUAGAAUAUAUUUUGACUUUAAUUUGAGAGUCAGAAGAAAAGUGAUAAGGAUUAUAUAUCGUAGAAGAUAUAUAUUUCGCUUAUCAAUGAAUGGAACAUUGUACUACAUCAUUAAAUUAAUAUUAAUUACAUUUUAUUAAUGUGGCGUUAAUUUGAUUAACAAAAGACGCCCUAGAACAUAAUGCAUAGGAUGACGAGCAUAUGUUAUUUUUUUGUAUAAUACCAUUAGAUUGUCUAUUAUUUGGUUGGGGUUGUGAACUUCAGUUUAUCCAAAUUUUUUUCUAAAAAGACCUGGUUGGCGUUUAUAGCUCCACUACAUUUUGCUGACUUUGCCUCAAAAAUUCACAGAGAACGUCGAUUUGCACAACUCCCAAUUUAAAAACGUUUUUAUUUCUUGAUGAUUAAUAUUUUAAAUUCUUGGUUUUGAAUGUGGAGUCUUUAAUAAGUAAAGGAAUUGAGAACUGCUACUGCAGCCUGGCGCUCAGAAUACUUUGCAGUAAAGUAGGUUGCCUGUAUCAAGGAGGAGCAAUCGUCAGCCGUAUUUUAAAUUCAAAUUAUGAUAGCAAUGUUACAGUGCGAGCCGAAACUUGUAAACAAUUAAAAUUUUGGAUUUCAAUAAAAUAAUCAGAUUUUAUUUGGUAGAUAAGCAGUUUAUGAAAGUAAUUAUGAUUUUACGACAUCUAACUCUGUUAAUGUAAAUGAAUUUUUUUCGCUUUGUUUUGUAUUUUUCUCUAAUGUGGACAUUUUCAUCUGGUGUUCUCUACAUUACAAUUUACGAUUUCUGAUAGAGGAAGUUGCUUCUAGUUAAAAUUGCAGAAAGAAACGGGUAACAUUAUUUGGGAAAAUUGUGAUGAGAAUGUAAAACCAUAAUAAAGUAAAAUUAGUCAAAGCGAUAGAUGCUUCUUAAUCAAAAAUAGAGAUUAAUUAAGAAGAAAAGUAAUGUAUCCAUUUUUUCAGUUAGCGUAUAGUAACAACGAUACAACAAAGUAAUGAAUUUUUAAUCUUCUUCUUUCAAAAAUUAAGAAAUCUCCCAGUUAUUUAUUUCGUAUGCAUCAGAUGUCUACAAUUUAUUUCAGCAUUUUCAAAAAGCCCUGUAUUUUUUUAAAAAAUCCGCGUUUUUAAAUUGCAUUUCAAUGAAAAGAAAUGGAGUUUUAGUUAUAAAACCCUGGUAAAAAUGGUAUGCAGUUUUCGUUGGUACAAGAUUAGAAAAACUAGCCGUGGUUUUGAAUUAUGUCAAAUGAAAAUGAAAAUUUCCCACCCUUAUGGUAAUGAAAGUUGCUUGUCAAUAUUUUCACAACUGAUUUAUAACUAAAACUUCCUUACGUUCCUGUAUAAGACGAAUAUAACAUUGUAAUAUUUUUUUUGUUGUUUGAAAAACAGUCUAUAUCAGCAAUUUCAAGAAUUGAAUAUAUAUUGAAUUUCCUUAUUUUCGAGUGUUUUCUUCGGUCCACGUUUUUUGGCUUUUUUACCUUCCUACGGCCAACUACUCACACCCCUCGCCAGCCCAACCCCCGGACCUGUAGACCCUGUUAAGUUGAUAGAUAUGGGGAAGGAAAAGUAAUAGUCAUGCAUAUAUGUGUACAUAAUGCAGUGUCUAUUAAUUUCAUUUAUGUAUGUAUUUGAAAAAACCAAAAAUGACAUAGUCUAUACCUACCUACGUACAAAAUAACUACAAAUUAUAGAUGAUACUUACUAAUUUUAUAAAAACUUCAAAUUCUGAAUAACUAAAAUCGACAGAUCAGAUAAAUUCAAGUUUAAAUAACUAUUUAUCCUGUGAUUUGAUAUUGUGUGUCGUAUAUUCUACAAUCUUUCUUGUCUAUAUGGUCGAAUUUUAUAAUACCACGGGAAUGCGAUAAACCAUCAAGUCAACAUUAUGGUGAAGUUAUCUAUGUUUUUAUAAUCGUUUACGUUUAGAUUACUUCUGUUUAGUUGGUCGUGCUCUUUUUUUGAACGUGAAAAUUUAACAUUUUUGCCAUGUGUAGUUUCAGUUCCCUAAACCAGAUAAAUUGACUAUAAUUAAUUAGUGGAGUUUAUUUAACUAAGAAAUCUUCUAUUUUGACUACGUAUAAAUUAAAAAUAAGUGUCCAAACUUAAUAUCGUUUGUGAUUAUUUUUAAUCAUGGUUUUACGUAUAACUUAUUUAUUCGUACUGAACUCAAUUCGACUGUGUUGUUUUUGUUGUGUAUGUUCCGCUAUUUAUUUGCUGAUUGUGAACCGAUUUUUAUUAUUUUAUUUCUAAAGCAGGUCUUUGUUUUAUUUAAUGUCUCGGUCUUCUAUUCAGUUAUUCAUCACAAGUUCAUAGUGGUUCUUAAUUGCAAGAUGUUUUGUUUGCGUCUUUUAAAUUCAACUUACCGAACUAAUUUUUUCGCAGAAUUAAUUGUAUUUUUUCUACGUAUAAUAUAUCUUGAUGAACGGUUAUUGAGAUUGAUUUAUACUAUAUUGUAAUUUUUCGCAGUUAUCCACACCAUAAAUUAAAUUGACAAAAUUCUUAGAUAUUUUAAAAUUUUACCAUUUUACUUGUUUUUGAUUACGUGUUUUUGUUUUAUUUAAUGUUUCCGCAUAAAUAGUCACAUUUAAUUUGAGAGUCGGAAGAAAAGGGAUAAGGAAUAAAUAUUUAAAUUUUCCCCGUAACAGAUGUCUGUUUUACUUGUAUUUUAUGCAUCUAUAGUAUGUAUAAUAUGCUGAUGAAAGGUUAUUGAGAUUGAUUUAUACUAUAUUGUAAUUUUUCGCAAUUAUUAACCGCAUAAAUUAAAUUUUCCGCGUAACAUGUUUAUUUGGCUUAUUAUAAUUAUGUGCAUGUAUGGUUUGAAAUAUGCUAUGGUGCAUCUUGUUUUGAAAUAGAAGCCACGCCACAUCGCCAUUUUAAAAGUAACAAUUUUACUAAUUUACUUGCU